rnacentral:rRNA from 1 species
UACGUAGGGGGCAAGCGUUGUCCGGAAUCAUUGGGCGUAAAGCGCGUGUAGGCGGCUCGGUAAGUCCGCUCUGAAAGUCCAGGGCUCAACCCUGGGAUGCGGGUGGAUACUGCCGAGCUCGAGUCCGGAAGAGGCGAGUGGAAUUUCUGGUGUAGCGGUGAAAUGCGCAGAUAUCAGGAGGAACACCAAUGGCGAAGGCAGCUCGCUGGGACGUGACUGACGCUGAGACGCGAAAGCGUGGGGAGCAAACAGG